GCUACACCCUUCUGCUAAAAAAAUAAAACUCUUUUUUCAAUUAACCCUAUUUAGCUUCUGCUGGAGCUCGAAUUCGGUGACCGACAGUCCGAAUCGGCAACGGCUACUGGGUUUGAGGCUCUUCUUUAACUGAAAUAGGUUUGCCGUUUGCAUAUUACAAGACAAGAUCAAUUAUAUUAUGUUUUGUUGAACUAAAAGCCUCUUCACUUCAAGGAUAAAAAAUUUCACAAAUUGCAAGUGCGGUGCAGCAUUUGGCACCGCGGAAGAUUUGGCAGGCCACAAAGAUAUCUGCCCCUGUGCUUUGGGGAAACUACUAACAGGAUUGCAAAGGCAUUAGCAGCAAAUCGAGAAGCCGAGAUGAAGAAGCGGAAUCUAGAAGAAGAGUUGGUAAUCUCAUCUUCCUAGUUGCCUUCCAAAUCCUCCGCGCUUUGCGGAAUUUCACAAAGCGGAAAGGUUCUGAUUUUGUACAAUGCUUUGGUUCUGGUUUUGGUGGAAUCACAGGGUAAUCAGUUGUUAGCUAAUUCGAGGUUGUUGUUAUUGUUGUUGUUGUUUUUCUAAAAUUUAUCCAUCAUUUCUAAAUUUAAAUAAACAUAUGUAAGGAAAAAGAGUGAUUUUAC